rnacentral:tRNA from 1 species
GCCCCGGUAGCUCAGUUGGAUAGAGCAGGGCUUUCCUAAAGCUCAGGUCGUAGGUUCGAAUCCUGCCCGGGGUG